rnacentral:rRNA from 1 species
UUGCACGCUGGCGGCAGGCCUAACACAUGCAAGUCGCACGGUAACAGGAAGAAGCUUGCUUCUUUGCUGACGAGUGGCGGACGGGUGAGUAAUGUCUGGGAAACUGCCUGAUGGAGGGGGAUAACUACUGGAAACGGUAGCUAAUACCGCAUAAUGUCGCAAGACCAAAGAGGGGGACCUUCGGGCCUCUUGCCAUCGGAUGUGCCCAGAUGGGAUUAGCUAGUAGGUGGGGUAACGGCUCACCUAGGCGACGAUCCCUAGCUGGUCUGAGAGGAUGACCAGCCACACUGGAACUGAGACACGGUCCAGACUCCUACGGGAGGCAGCAGUGGGGAAUAUUGCACAAUGGGCGCAAGCCUGAUGCAGCUAUGCCGCGUGUAUGAAGAAGGCCUUCGGGUUGUAAAGUACUUUCAGCGGGGAGGAAGGGAGUAAAGUUAAUACCUUUGCUCAUUGACGUUACCCGCAGAAGAAGCACCGGCUAACUCCGUG